rnacentral:rRNA from 1 species
UACGGAGGGUGCAAGCGUUAUCCGGAUUUAUUGGGUUUAAAGGGUCCGUAGGCGGAUCUGUAAGUCAGUGGUGAAAUCUCAUAGCUUGACUAUGAAACUGCCAUUGAUACUGCAGGUCUUGAGUAAGGUAGAAGUAGCUGGAAUAAGUAGUGUAGCGGUGAAAUGCAUAGAUAUUACUUAGAACACCAAUUGCGAAGGCAGGUUACUAUGUCUUAACUGACGCUGAUGGACGAAAGCGUGGGGAGCGAACAGG